rnacentral:lncRNA from 1 species
CCAAGAUCAGCCCCCCUGCGUCUGUCUCCAAAAAAGGUUGGUGAUGACAUUGCCAAGCCAACCAGUGACUGGAGGGGUCUGAGGACUACAGUGAAACUGACCAUUCAGAACAGAGAGGCCCAGAUUGAGGUGGUACCUUCUGCUUCUGCCCUCGAAGCCUUCAAGGAACCACCAAGAAAUAGAAAGAAACAGGAAAACAUUAAACACAGUGGAAAUAUCACUUUUGAUGAGGUCGUCAACGUUGCUCAACAGAUGCAUCACCAAUCUUUAGCCAGAGAACUUUCUGGAACCAUUAAAGAGAUCCUGGGGACUUCCCAGUCUGUGG